rnacentral:misc_RNA from 1 species
GAAAUGCGAUAAGUAAUGUGAAUUGCAGAAUUCAGUGAAUCAUCGAAUCUUUGAACGCACAUUGCGCCCGCCAGUAUUCUGGCGGGCAUGCCUGUUCGAGCGUCAUUUCAACCAUCAAGCCCCCGGCUUGUGUUGGGGACCUGCGGCUCCCCGCAGGCCCUGAAAAACAGUGGCGGGCUCGCUGUCACACCGAGCGUAGUAGCAUACAUUCUCGCUCAGGGCGUGCUGCGGGUUCCGGCCGUUAAACGACCUUCAUAACCCAAGGUUGACCUCGGAUCAGGUAGGAAGACCCGCUGAACUUAAGC